UACAGAGGGUGCGAGCGUUAAUCGGAAUUACUGGGCGUAAAGCGCGCGUAGGCGGCUUUGCAAGUCGGGUGUGAAAUCCCCAGGCUUAACCUGGGAACUGCAUUCGAGACUGCAUUGCUAGAGUAUGGGAGAGGGAAGUGGAAUUUCCGGUGUAGCGGUGAAAUGCGUUGAUAUCGGAAGGAACGCCGGUGGCGAAAGCGACGGGCUGGAUCUCUACUGACGCUGAGGCGCGAAAGCCAGGGGAGCAAACGGG
rnacentral:rRNA from 1 species